UUCUAAUGCAACAUGUAAUGAAGUGUAAAUAAGCAUAUAGUACCCUAACCAUCAGGACCAAAGCGCCACAUGGCAACUCCCAUAAAUUUGUUCCGUCUAUAUGCAUAUAAAGUCUAUCAAUCUCUAAGAAGCACAUUGUAUCUAUGAACAAUCAAACCAAAUAAGAACUCUCAUACACCAAACAACAGUAAACUUCAAAGUAGUCUAGGAGAUCUUGCUUAAGUAAUGCAUUUUCUCUACAACAAGAUGCCGAAUAAAAUGUGAUCAAACUCCAAUGAUAUCCAUAAACAGGUCCCAACAUUACCGCACCGUCACAGACUACCAAAAUGUUAUGAAUCGCAAUCUCAAUCUCAUCACAGAUCAUUCAAUAUUCCAUUCCACAAGAAAUCAUCGUAUCACCGAAAAAUGUGCAU